rnacentral:rRNA from 1 species
AUUGAACGCUGGCGGCAGGCCUAACACAUGCAAGUCGAGCGGAUGAAGGGAGCUUGCUCCUGGAUUCAGCGGCGGACGGGUGAGAAAUGCCUAGGAAUCUGCCUGGUAGUGGGGGAUAACGUCCGGAAACGGGCGCUAAUACCGCAUACGUCCUGAGGGAGAAAGUGGGGGAUCUUCGGACCUCACGCUAUCAGAUGAGCCUAGGUCGGAUUAGCUAGUUGGUGGGGUAAAGGCCUACCAAGGCGACGAUCCGUAACUGGUCUGAGAGGAUGAUCAGUCACACUGGAACUGAGACACGGUCCAGACUCCUACGGGAGGCAGCAGUGGGGAAUAUUGGACAAAGGGCGAAAGCCUGAUCCAGCCAUGCCGCGUGUGUGAAGAAGGUCUUCGGAUUGUAAAGCACUUUAAGUUGGGAGGAAGGGCAGUAAGUUAAUACCUUGCUGUUUUGACGUUACCAACAGAAUAAGCACCGGCUAACUUCGUG